rnacentral:misc_RNA from 1 species
GGAUUUCAGUUUGGUGGAAAUGAUCCCUCUGUUCCAUCUGGUGGUUUCAACUUUGGCUGAAGGGAUCUAUAAAUUGACACGGGCAAAUCACAGUGUAGGUGGAAAAUAUGUUGGGUAAAGUUCAGUCUGAGUCUCCAUCACAGCACCUUGUAUUUGGUUACAGUUUGGUCUUAUAUUCAUUGUCGUUAAAGUGGUGCUAGACAGCUCAAUUAUUCUAUGUCCGUGGUCUCACACCCUAGACAGAAAAUACUAUAUGAUGAUGUGCUAUGAAAGCUGUUCAGAAAGAUCUAUUGCUUGCAUGAGCAUGGCGUCCUCUCAUGAGUCACUGAGUGGGUGUGCUGCAGUUCUGGUGUAGGUAUAGUUGUAUGCAGCAUUGGUCCUUAUUUUCGCAUUAUUGGUUGUGCUAGUAGUUUAUACACUAGCGGUAUUCAUUUUAUCUUUGAUUGCGUGAAUAUAUUACUUGUAAACCUCAUUUUCUCAAUUUCUUUCACUUGAAUAAAUC